rnacentral:rRNA from 1 species
UACAGAGGUGGCAAGCGUUGUUCGGAAUUACUGGGCGUAAAGCGUGCGCAGGCGGUUCGUUGUGUCGGCGGUGAAAGCCCCGGGCUCAACCUGGGAAUGGCCGUUGAAACUGGCGAACUGGAGUGUGGCAGAGGGGGGUGGAAUUCCGCGUGUAGCAGUGAAAUGCGUAGAUAUCGUAAGGAAGGCCGGUGGCGAAAGCGAGCCUCUGGACAGUUACUGACGCUGAUGCACGAAGGCCAGGGGAGCAAACGGG